GACGAACGCUGGCGGCGUGCCUAAUACAUGCAAGUUGAGCGAUGAAGAUUGGUGCUUGCACCAAUUUGAAGAGCAGCGAACGGGUGAGUAACGCGUGGGGAAUCUGCCUUUGAGCGGGGGACAACAUUUGGAAACGAAUGCUAAUACCGCAUAACAACUUUAAACAUAAGUUUUAAGUUUGAAAGAUGCAAUUGCAUCACUCAAAGAUGAUCCCGCGUUGUAUUAGCUAGUUGGUGAGGUAAAGGCUCACCAAGGCGAUGAUACAUAGCCGACCUGAGAGGGUGAUCGGCCACAUUGGGACUGAGACACGGCCCAAACUCCUACGGGAGGCAGCAGUAGGGGAUCUUCGGCAAUGGAGGAAAGUCUGGCCGAGCAACGCCGCGUGAGUGAAGAAGGGUUUCGGAUCGUAAAACUCUGUUGGUUGGGAAGAACGUUGGUGAGAGUGGAAAGCUCAUCAAGUGACGGUAACUAACCAGAAAGGGACGGCUAACUACGUG
rnacentral:rRNA from 1 species